ACACACACACACACACACACACACACACACACACCAUAAUAACCUCGCAGCAGCUCAGACAUGUUUUCUCACACGCUCUCUGGGUGGGCCGAGGGGGCAAGCAAAGCGCCGACUCAGCACCAAACUCCAGCCAGGAUUUGACAUCUCUGCUCCGACGGUCGUUGGCUCAACUUUACCUGCAGCACAGCAGGUUCACAGUCACAGCUGGACRACGAGUUGGAGGACGGUCUGGACCAGUUGGAAACCGGUCCUGGUCCAGGGUCGGUGAGAGCCGGCCUCGUGUCCCACAGAGCUGCAGAGGAAACUGAGGAGCAGUUUGGGAGUGAAAGUUUCCCUCUGUGGUUUUAGAACCAGAUGUUCCAUCUGAACCGGACCAGGUCUGGAUUUUACAGAUUCUGUUAAAGUUUUGAGCGGUGACUCAGGGGGGAUCGCCUCGUUCCUGUCAUUCCACACAUUCCUGGAGCGCCUGAGCUCCUCGGCAGCUUCCGUCCACUCCACCUCUCAGAUGCUUCCAGUAAAACCAGCGUUUUAUCUGGAACACACGCUUCCAGAAGCGGAGAGGCCAAAACGUCUGGACUUAUUUGGCUGCUGGGUGGGAGACGCAGCUGAAACAAAAGGAAAGCCCCCUUCGGCUGCUCCGGUGACGUUAUUCCAGCUGCUCCACCUCRAACUAAAGUUUCUAAAGAAUCAGCUUCAGCUGUUUGUUACUUAAAUUCAAGAGAAGUGAGAUGUUCAAUAAAGAUCACGUUCUUUAGAAAUAUACCUGUUUUAUUAUUCUAGAAAUCAUCAGCAGGUUAUUGAUUGUUUUCUGUAAACUGAACACUGUUUUAAGACCUGCUGCACACUUUCUUAUUUCAGCUGUUUAUCUACAUGUUCGGCUCAUUCAGGGAGCCGGAAUGGUUUUUAUGUCUGUAAUACUUUUUUAAAGUAUUUAAAGGUAUUUACAAAUAUUUCCCCCCACAGAAAUAAAUAUGCAGAUCUCUGAAGUUCCUUCAACAUUACUGCUCCCUUUGAAAGCUGCUUCAGUAAAAUGGCUGUUUUUGUCUC